UAAUUUUUAGUUUAAUUAAAAUUUUUUAUUUACAAUAAAAAGAUAGGGUUUAUUAAAAUACUAAAAUUUU
rnacentral:tRNA from 1 species